GAUGAACGCUGGCGGCGUGCCUAAUACAUGCAAGUCGAGCGAACAGACGAUGAGCUUGCUCCUCUGACGUUAGCGGCGGACGGGUGAGUAACACGUGGAUAACCUACCUAUAAGACUGGGAUAACUUCGGGAAACCGGAGCUAAUACCGGAUAAUAUAUUGAACCGCAUGGUUCAAUAGUGAAAGACGGUUUUGCUGUCACUUAUAGAUGGAUCCGCGCCGCAUUAGCUAGUUGGUAAGGUAACGGCUUACCAAGGCAACGAUGCGUAGCCGACCUGAGAGGGUGAUCGGCCACCCUGGAACUGAGACGCGGUCCAGACUCCUACGGGAGGCAGCAGUAGGGAAUCUUCCGCAAUGGGCGAGAGCAUGACGGAGCAACGCCGAGUGAGUGAUGAAGGUCUUCGGAUCGUAAAACUCUGUUAUUAGGGAAGAUCAAAUGUGUAAGUAACUAUGCACGUAUUGACGGUACCUAAUCAGAAAGCCACGGCUAACUACGUG
rnacentral:rRNA from 1 species